rnacentral:rRNA from 1 species
GACUCUCGGCAACGGAUAUCUCGGCUCUCGCAUCGAUGAAGAACGUAGCGAAAUGCGAUACUUGGUGUGAAUUGCAGAAUCCCGUGAACCAUCGAGUUUUUGAACGCAAGUUGCGCCCAAAGCCACUCGGCCGAGGGCACGUCUGCCUGGGCGUCACGUAU